GCGAUCACACGUCUGUAGGUCUGGACAAAACAGACGAAGCUUAUCCACACCAUAACGAAUUCAGCAUCGAUAUCGGCCAUGCGCCUGAAACAAUCCUGCAAGACUUCCAGGUUAUAUACACCGAUUACAAACACUGCGUUCUCUUUUGGUCCUGGAGCUUAGGCUACCAAGUGUGGGUGGAGUCAUCAUACCUGAAAACAUGGAGAAAGGUGCCCGAAGUUUGCUACCUUUUGUACGAUCUGCUUGAGCCACGUAGAAGACACGUUGUUUACAAAUGGAAGAUGUGUGAAAAAUAAACGUCCUGCAG
rnacentral:lncRNA from 1 species